UACGGGGGGGGCAAGCGUUGUUCGGAAUUACUGGGCGUAAAGGGCUCGUAGGCGGCCAACUAAGUCGGACGUGAAAUCCCUCGGCUUAACCGGGGAACUGCGUCCGAUACUGGCAGGCUUGAAUCCGGGAGAGGGAUGCGGAAUUCCAGGUGUAGCGGUGAAAUGCGUAGAUAUCUGGAGGAACACCGGUGGCGAAGGCGGCAUCCUGGACCGGCAUUGACGCUGAGGCGCGAAAGCCAGGGGAGCAAACGGG
rnacentral:rRNA from 1 species